rnacentral:lncRNA from 1 species
AUGUGGGUCUCAUGCCCGCAAGUAGGUUUCGAAUGUGAAGAGAAGCCCUGGAAAAAGUGUAUGAGGCCAGGGGGGAUGAGUGCACAUCUAUCUGGAUGUCCUGAAGCCAGGCAAGUGGUCAGAACGGAGCUGAUGAUGAACCAUAGGGUGAGUGUGGGGCAGAAGCAGGAGGGGCGGUUUGGGGGUGCUCAGCCCCGCUGUAGGAGGGCUGUAUCUUGCUCCUCUGCUCCAUCCAGGCCAGGCUUAUCUGCAACCCCAGGGGAAAAGUGCCAAAGCACGUGUGACAAUAAAAAUGACUGCAUUUGUGCCAGGCCUCUUCCGGCCGCCCCGCCCUAUGCGCUUCCCACCGGAGACUGGCUCUGGAGUCUGGAUUUCACACUGGCUUCCCAAGAAAAGGCAGCUUUUUUUCUUUUCUUUCAAAGUAUGACUGUUUUUUCGUUAUCGAGACAACUCUCAUUACUGCAGACCUUGAAACAAGCCGCAUGCACGUGGAUGCGGGCCGCCGUGGGCCGGAGGGGUGCAGGGCGAGGGGUGGGUGUGCCCCGAGUCGGGGAGCCUGGAGCGGGGAGCGGGGAGCGGGCAUCGGAACCCCAGCAGGACGCAGCACACAACUCAAGCGGGCUCGGCGCUGCCGGCACUUCUGGGGGGAGGAUGCUCCCGAGUUUGCUCGCGGGCUCCGCGCUCCCGGGGGCGGGGGCGGGGGCGGGGGCAGUGGGGCCCGGUCCCCGGCCCCGCCCGAGCCGGGGGGAGGGGGCGCGGGCCCCGGGGUGGGGAGGGGCGCCCGGGAGGGCCGGGUCGUACCUGCCUGGCCUCAGCGGCCUGCUCCUCCGCCUCCACCGGCGCCGCCGCCGCCGCCGCGAGCUCCCCCGGGCCCUCGGGCUCCCCCGGGCCCUCCGGCGCGGCCGCGGGCUCCGGGGCGCAGGGGCCGGGCGGUGCGGGGGUCCCGCGGGCCUCGGCCGGGGGCGCGGGCUCCGGGCUGGCGGCCCCCCCGCGCCGCACCAGCAGCCAGGCGAGCAGCAGCGCCAGCGCCGUGGCCAGCGCGGGCAGCGCGGCCAGCAGCUCGGCCGGCGCCUCCAUCGCGCCGCGGCCGCCCGAGUGCCCGCCCGCGGGGACCCCGAGGGAGCCCGCCGCGCCCCGCCCGCGCCCCGCCCCGGGGCGGAGCCCCCGCCGCGCCCCGCCCCCCGCGCCCCCUGCGCCCCCGACCCCGGGGCGGCGCUCCCGAGGCCGGAGGAGGCCCGCGCCGCCCGCACCGGGCGGGCCUGGCGCUUUGCGCUCAGAUUGGUUUUGGAAACCAGCUCGAAACGCUCUUUUCUCAGGCGCCCUUCGCUUCUGGUCACUUUCAGCAUCAUUUCCGCGCCUCCAGCCCUCUGGGGGCGCAGGUUGGGGAACGCGGAGGCCCCGACAGGCCGGGAAGGCUCACCCAAACCCUGGCACCCGACUGGCCUGUAA